AUGAAUGAGGGUCACAAUUGAGGGCGAGGAGAAAACAGCAGUAGUUUCAAGUCCUUUCAAGCCCAAUUUCUUCAGUGCUUCACCUGCAUAUGCAUUUUUCUCUAUUGGGAUUUUCAUAGAGAAGGCAGGAUCUGAAUAGCUCUAGGCUUCCCUGAAGCUAAUGUCCACUCUUGGUGCUUUAUAUGUUGUUCUACCUGAUUGAGCUCACCUG